AAACUGCUGUUAAGAUUAUUAUUAUUAUUGCAUGAACAAAUAAUUUUAAGGAAGUAGGUGCAUUUUUCAGGACCCAGAUUCUAGUGAAUAUGUAAAGUCAAUUUAGAGCAGGAGAGUAGUAUACAGUAGAAGCAGUUGUGCCACAGACUCGGAUAACUAAGGAUCCAGCGAUGAAAACUGUCGAAUUAUUCGAUAACUGAAUCUGACUGUAGAACUAAUCAUUUGAAUUUAUAUCUUAAUCUUGAUUCUUUGAUGCGCGUGAGUUAUGCCCAGAUGCCGAGUCUUUUGCUUCGUGCGCGUGAGCUGCGUCGAGAUACAGAGUUAAGAGGUGUAGGUGUAACUGGGGGCUUUCGAAUUAGAGUGCUUGACUUGAACCUGAACGAAAGUAUUGGAAUGAUAGUAAACGAUUCAGUAUAUGAUAUGAUAUAUACCCACGUUUCAAUUUAUUACUUUGUUUCUACAUGGUACAGAACUGAGUUUACAUUAAUUACUCGACUUACGGAGGCUAUCAUUUUGUAGACCGGGUAAAGGUAAAAUUGCCCCUGUGCUCAAUUAAUUCAGCACCAUGCCAUGAAGAUGUAUGGGAGAGUGAAGAUGUAACUCCAUCAUUCCUGACCUUGGUACUAGGUAGAGUUCAAAUUUAGGUGGCAGCUUGGGCACACUCCUUGCUGCAAAAAGGCUGCUCAUUUUUCACAAGAAACUUGCCACC